UUUGUGACAGCGCACAAGGAAGGACACGGCUGCUCGUCACACGACAGUUCGUGUGGGUAGACCGUGCGUGUCGGCAGUGUGGCGAACCGAACCGCAGCCUCUUCUACAGUUUUUUUUUUGACGGAUAAUUUAUCAUACUCACCUCUACUCAAUGAACCUACCUUGAGCUUAUUAUUUUGUUGUGGUUUUCGGCGUCAAAGCGACAGAGAUGGAAAGCAAGUUAGCCAGCACUACUCCAUCUUCCUCUUCAUUUGAUAUACAGCUACUGACAUAACCAGGGGCGCUGAAGUGACAGAGUGCAGCGGAAGAUGGACAUCCGGAGUGGCAUACAAAAGGCAGUGGAGCCCCUCCCUACCUCUCUCCCCUCCUCCCCUCAACAGUCGGGUGCCCAUCAGCAGAGCGAGCCGGAGGACAGCCAGGCAGAGCGGAGCGCCAGGCCCACCGCUGACAACCACAGCAAGGACACCCAGCCAGCCGCCGGCCACCGAGACGACAAAAAAUAUUUCAAUGUGGAGUCGAUUGAUGGGACUAUGUUUCAUGAAGCCAUUAGAAGACUGUUGCUGACUGAGAGGAGGUAUGUAUACAUUAUUUCUUAUGAAUGAUGUAUAGUAAGUCUUGGUGAUUCAAUAGCCUAGUUAACCAUUACAUUACUUUUAACACACUAUUUCUAUGUUUUGCUCAGUCUGGCACUAACCCAGAACUAUCAGAAGCAUCUUUCUUUCGGCUGCUGCUGAGAACAACUGCAUGGAAGUUGUUCUUCCACAUUAUAGUACGUAUUUGUCUGCAUAGCAUUUUGUCUUCAUUUUAUCAGAUUAACUCAGGUUUUUGCAAAUGUCUUAUUAUUUUCUGGAACUAGUCAGGCAACAACCCAUACUGUACUGGCGGUAGAUAGCCCAGCGGCUAAAGAGGUGGACCUGUGGCAGGAGUUGGACCUGUGGACAGUUUGAAUCCUGGGCCGAGUUCUGGAAAAAACAAACGGAAUUAAUCUGACAAGUGGAGGGCUGCAGGGUUCAUAUCCUCAAAACAUUCACCUACCGUUGGGCCGUUGAGCAAGGUCUUUAACCCCAAAACAGCUCCAUUCAGGGUCACUGCACUGCAGCUUCAAACUGUUCUCAUCUCAACUGUAUGUGUCAGGUCUGCUGUUUGGGGGUUUAGAAACAGAGCAGAAGGCAUGUUGUUUUGGUUUGCUGUAACUAAUGGACAAAGUUGUAUUGUAUUUUAUUGUAAAGAAGUCAGCCAGAGUUGACAUGGGCCAUCAUUCAAACAAAGAGAUGUCAGCCAGAGUUGAC